AAAUAACCUCAUUUGUCUAUAUAGGUUUUACAGUCUGUUUAUUGAUACUUAUGUUUGAUGGGGUUAUUUUUUUCUUAUUCAAUUCUGUACAAUGUUAAUGAUGAAAUAAGAAGUGUUUCAGCAUAUUAGUGUGUUUCCCUAUGAGUUGUGCAGAUGUCUUCAGGAAAAAUGAAAAAAAAAACUUAAAUCAGUUUCGUGUGUUGUGAAAGCAGAAUUCCUUCCCAGGUGCAUACUUUUUCAUUGCACAGUUUAUAAUCAUCUCUGGCUGUAAAAAGUUGUUGAGAAUUCCGUUGUUUCUUAUCUUUUUUUCUGUUCCUUUCAACAACUGUUAAGCAGCUUAUUUAAAGGCAUUUUCAAAUAUUGUUUUAGUUACUUGUUUCUGUAAAACUGACACCCAGAGUUGGAGGGGACUAGAUGGGAACAGGCAUUUUUACAGGUUUCCUGGAAACAGCUUGGAGCAUGGAGGGAAUGUCCUUUUUAUUUCCCAUAUUCAGAACAAGGGUCUGUACAAACUGUCACUCCACAGGUGGUGGGAAGUAAAUGCCAUGUUAAAGGAUGCCAUGGCCUUGUUUGCUGACUGCGCUAUUACACUGCCAUUCUGCCCAAAUCCAUUUGGAUGAUAGUAUUGUCUUUAUAUUUGGGAACAAGAGAAUUCCUUUUAGGGUUCCACUCCCUUAAGCUCCUGGCUGCUUUUUGCAAAAUAAGGCUGUGCCCUGAAGGGGCAGUAAUCCCUUAACUGUUUCAGGCAUCCUGCUCAGACAUGACACCUUGUUAGAGGUGAAGGACUUUGGACCAAAGGAAACUUUUUAAGGGCUAUAUGCCAUAGACUUUCAAACAGAAACCUCUCUGCACUUAAGUGUUGGAUGUCCUACUGUUUCAGUGUUAAAUCUCUUAAGCUGUAAAAUAUGCUGCAAAAGAAUAGUUCUUUCAAUUAUUAAAUAAUUACCCAAAGUCUAUCAAGGUUUUAGUGGGACUGCAGUUGAAUCUUAAAUGAGGACUGACCUUUAAAGCUAAAUAAAAAAUUGAGGUAUUUGGCUGUUCUCUGUAGAGGCUAGGGAGGGGAGUUCCUUCAGGAGCAAUGGCAGAGUUCAGUUUUCCAAAUUCCAGUUCAGCCACUAUUAUUAGGAGUUAGUCACUUAAAGUGGUAUUUGUACCUUAUGAAAGUACAUUAUAUUGCCCUGCAUACAGUGACAUGGUGCCUACUGUAGUCCUACCAUUUAAUAGACUGGAAAAAAAGAAAACUCAUAAAAAGUUUGGGGAGUGUUUGACCAUUGUGCAUAUAGUACUUUUAAGCUGCUGUCUCAUGGUGCAAGGAAGACCUUUUAUAGUGAGGGUGGAAUUUUCCUUCACUGGAACUGUGAGUGAAGUGUCUGCACUUUUAAAUCAAGUAUAUUUUUGCUGCUGCCAUCACUGGCUCUUGGUUUCUGCUACCUAUCUCAAGAUUGAUGUGUCUUUAAUUUGUUGUUGUUCUUUUUUUUUAAGCCCAGCUUCUCUCUGAGAUAGAGUGCUUUUCAGGAGAAAGAAAGAGAAAUUUUGUGGUCUGUGUUCAGCAGGAGAUCCUAGAUGACCUUAACAGUCAUGUCUGGCCUUUAAAUCUGAGACAGUCCUGACGAGAUGAUUCACCUGUUUCAAAUACACAUUGAAUGAGUGAGAAAGUAGUAUUCCAACUGAACUUAAGUUUUUAUGACACCUGGGCUUACUUUAGAGGUAAGAAUUUAUUGUCUGGUCCUGCACUAGUAGAAUAUUUGAAGGCCUUGAGAGCACUGUAACAACAAACACCGCAUUCACAAUUCCCCUGAUGGGCUGAAUUUCCUAAUAGCACACAUUUGGGGAAAAUAACCUCUGAUGUACCAGCAAGAUUCCAGAUGACAGCACUAGUGCACCUGCAGGUUUUAAUUGGUGCAAAAAAGGGGAAAAUAUGAGGUACCAAUUACUCUCUUGAAGCCUGAGAAUCAAGGACGUUUUUUGGCAAGGAGGCUUGUAAUUCCACCAUCAAAUUGUGCACAGCAUGGCAUAAACAUGGCCUGCAUUAUUUAUCAUGCAUUAGACAAUUUUUGACUUGUAAAACUCUGUAUAAGAGAGGUGAGUCUUUAACACUGGACCUACUGCAAAGUUAAUUAUAAGUAGUAUGUCUGUGUUGCAGAUUUAAGGGUGUACAAGCACUAGUGAAAUACUGUAAUUAAAUACAAGCUCCCAAUCCAGGGAGUAAUCUAAAUAUGGCAAUAAUUGGGUAGCUAAAAAAUACGCAUUGAUGAGAAGAUGAUUAUUACAUGCUGGAGAAUUUCACUGGUAAUUCUAAUCUUCUAAAAUGAGCUGCACAAAAUUCAGCUAAUCUUUAACUUAAAUUCCCCAGCAAGAGAAGAGCAGUCAGUUUGUGGGUUGGAGCUAAAUGCAGAUGACAUUUCUUGCUUUAUUCUGAUAAAUAGCAUUUAAAAAAUGCUGUGAAUGACACUGCAGAGCCUCCUAAGAACUUAGUAAGAUAUUCAGAGUAUCUGGCCACCCUGUUGAGGGAAAAAGAUUCACAGUGUUAAGUCCUUUUUGUUAACGUUUGUCUUAACUGCAGUGAAUGCCAAGAUUUUCCAUCUGUGGGAAUGAGGUGAGACUUCACAAUGAGAACUCCAGUUCCUCAUAUAGAAGUUUAGAUGGUAGUUCAAAAUGGAGAGAACCAAGGCCUCCAGCAUUUGUAUUUUUGGAUGAACAGACAUGAAUUUCGUACAUUGCACCCAUCACUGUUUCCUACUUGCUUGCUGUGGUGGCAACAGCUGGGCUGAAGGGCAGUAUAUCCCUAGUAGAUGUGAGCAGUUGAGCAGCCUGUGCUUGGGUUUGGUAGAUGUUACUCGGUCUUUUUACCACAUCUUUGGGCUGUGUUUCAUCCUUACAAAUGUAGCACAUGGCUUUUACUGUAUGAUGUAAACAAGAGUCCAUUAGUGAAAGGAAAGUUUAGUAAAACAAAAAAUAUCCCACAUUUAAUGCAAGGGCUGUUGUACUGUGUUUUUGCAUGGUUUACUAUAUACUCAUUAUCCUCCUUCCUGUAGCCUGCUGUACUGUAUGCAUUCCUCUGUGCCCUCUGGUUGCAAGGGCCCCACUGAGCCAGUGUGGGUGAAAUCACUCCUGAUGUUUCUUUUUAGCAGUGCUUAUCUGGAGUCAAGCUGGUUAGAGGCAAUUAGGGCCUCUGUCUCUUCAUCCCUUCUGACAUUUGUAUGAAAGAACCACGUACCAAAUGCUUUUGUGGGUUGAGUGAUUCCCUCAAAUGAUGCAUUCAGCUUGCUAGCAAGAUGAGAGUAUCACUGCUUUCAGGUUGUAGAAACAAGAAGGUACUGGGCUGGCUGGAGGAGCAAUGGCCAGGCUUCUGCCUUCAGCCCCUGCCAAGUCAGUAGACUUUGCAGCUCUGGAAAGUUUAAGCAUAGCACCAAAACACAAGAUGGAACUGCACGGGAAAGGUACUUGUGUGUUGGUGGUGGCCAUCAUUCCUGCAUCACAGCUGUGGUAAGAGAUCAGACGUGGAAUACUGACAAAUUGAUCAGCCUGAGCAGCUACAGGGCCAGGUUUUAACAAUAGCAUUAUGCAUUGUGAAACCUAUCAUCAGUGCUGCAGCUCACUUAAAAGCAGUCUAAGUUGCCUUUACUUUUUGUUCAGAAUCCAAAACUGCUCAGGUGGGCGUUCUUGAGGUGUCACAGGCACCUCCAUCUUACAGUUCUGAAGCACCUCAUGUAUGAGGUUAAGUAUCAAGCUGCUUAGGUCUUUCAAGAAUAAAAAAAUGGCUUAAAGCCUUUGUGUAUUUGUAUGGUGCUGAGAAUGGCAUUCCUAUGGACUCAGGUGCCAUUUGGUGCUAUUCAGAGCUGUUCUGCCCACCUUACUGUUUAAACUAGGUCUUGUGUAAGGGUUAGGUACCUCGUUUGUGUGCAUCAAAGCCUGAAAUGCAUCUUCUGUCAUGUAUAGAGCAAUUGGGCCUGUCUGCCUCAUGCAGACACGGUGUGAGGUCUAAGAUGUGUUUAAUCAGUACAACCUCAUACCCAGUUCCAGAUUUUAUUUCUAACUAUCAUGUCCGAUUAUUCUGUAGGAUUGGCCCAUACUUAAAAACACCACAUAUUGCAGUAAGUCUUAUGCAGACUAUCUCCAAAAUGAUGGAGAAAUGUAACAUGGGUGAGUUUGUGCUGUCACCUUCAAUUUAUAUUUUUUGUCUUUGUUACUGUUGGUAAUUUUGUCUUUGUUACUGUUGUCACCCUUGGGUUUUUUCAAUUCACUAUGUUACAGUAACAAAUUUAAGGCCAAAUAAAAACUGCUUACCACAUGGCUAGAAAAGGAACUGAUUUCUGAAUCUCACCUUGACACCUGCUCUGUCCUGCUUGUGCCUCAACAAAGGAGUUAGGGGAUGCCUGUUCUGGCAGCCACCCUGUGCAGCAGGAGAUUGGGCUUCAUGAUAUACAGCUGUCCUGAAGGAGCUAUGCUCCAGUGGCUUGAACUGAGUCAGAACUAUGAGGCAGGUGCAGUAUCCUAUGGUGCAGUACCAGAGGCCAUGGAGAUAAACAUUAAUCACAUAAGAUGUGGUGCUGGGGGAAAGUGAUGUUGCUGGGCCUCGGUCCAUGCUAAGCAGAUACAGCAACUUGCUGCUGGAAGGAUUUGUGCAGCUGUUUCCCAAUCUGGUUUAGUGUGCUUAAGCUAGAUACACAGAUUAAUUUAGGUUGAUUAGAACUACUGGGAUGAAUUACUUUUCAUGGAAAUUAAUUCAAACUUAAGAUAAAGAUGUGAAAAUUAGAGGCUAACUGAAUAUGGGCAAGUUUUCAGUGCUUUCCCCAGCCAUCUGUUUCCCCUGCCUCCACACAAGGCAAGGCUUAGGAAGACAAAGCAGUGAUGGUUUGUCAUAGUAGACUGCCAUGCAAAAGCCCCUAGGGCAGAAACAGGGAUGGUGGCUAUUAGUAAGAGUCCUCUAGCUACCUGUAUAACCUCCAUUCUUCAUUUGCAAUGAAGCACUUCAUGAGCAGGGUGGUAAGAGGUGAGGUACAAUCUGCCAGAAAUGGUCAGAAGGUAGCAGGCGUAUUCAAUUUCCUCUUUCACAUUGCAGCUGGAUGCUGCAGGAGACACUAGUAGGGCCUAAACUGCACUGAAGACUACGUCUUGGGGCUGUACAUGAGUACUUUGCUUUUGCCCUUGUAAACGUGAACAAAAUUUUGCCUAGGUUGUUCCGAGCUUUACAAAUAAUCAAUUCAUCAAGAUCUGAAGUGAAAGAAAGACAAUAGAUAUCUCAUUUUCAUAAGGCAGAAGGCAAUUCAAAAUACAAAAAAAAAACCCAAAGACUGCUGCCACACAAAAUGUACUUGGAUCAUUUUAUUUUCAGCAGGUGUUAUUUAGUUCAACUACUUAAAUCUUAAGUGUGGCACAGUAGGAAGCUCAGAAUGCAACUGUGUAUUGCCUAACAGUAAUGGGACUUUAGCUACAGCAGCUCUUGUUAAAUCUUUCUUGUUAACUGGGACAGGACAGCCUGGCUGCACAUCACCGUGUUGAGCAUUAGAAACAAUCUAUGAUACUUACAGUAAAGAUGAAUGGCAAGACACUGAUAGCUGCAAUGUUUUUAAUUAAAAAAAUAAUGAGAAUACGGCACAUGUGUGUUUAGAUGCUGUCAUAGAGGCAGGAUUUGUUGUAGCCUUUAGGCUUCCAAAGUAGUCAUUCAUUCUUGUAAAUCAGUGUUUGUCAAACUUUGCAAAAGCGUGGCCUCCCUUUUUGCAUCAUCUGUCUUCAUGCAACUAUUAAGUUGGCUGCAGCUCAGUUUCUUUGGGGGUGGGAAAGCAGAAUGGUCUGUAGUUACUGGCUACAGGUGUUACAUGGACACUGAGCUGUGUCUGGCAAUUAAAGGCAUUUAGCUGCUCCCUUCCUAAUCCAAACACUUCCAUACAAUAAUUACAGCCUGCAUUGCACUUUCCUGUCUUUGAGGAGAAUUCCCCUGGGCCCUUUUGCUACUUCCAAGGGGGCUGUUGCCUGAAAUUUGAGAAACACUGAUGUAAACCAACCAGGAGCACGAGAUAAUAUGCAAGAGCAGCUGUUUAUGCAAAGCUGCUUUCUUUGCAAAUAAGGUGCACCAUAUGCUUUGAAGGCUUUCCAUGCACUGGAUACUUUUCCUCGUGUUUGACUUCUGUUAAUCUGUGUAGCAUGGCUCGUUCACACAAUAUUUCAGUAUGGCUGAAUGCAUGCAGCAUAUCAAUCUGUGAUGCUAUGUUGCUAUUCAGAAUUACCACCUGCAUAACAUGUUAAAGAAAAAUACGAGAUUUGCUGUUGGAAAAAAAAAGCUCAACAAAAAUCAGAUGUAGCUCUAAGUUACAGUGUAUGUUGUACUAUCCUCUUACAUAUUCACUGCCCCUGUUCAAAGCUGCCUUUUGCUAUAUGUUAUAUAUCAAAUGCCAAUUAGUUUGCAUGCAAUCAGCUGUUUAAUUCUGGCAGGAAAGAGAUGUCUUGUGUGCUUUUCACUGAGUUGUAUAAUAUUUUCCACUGUAUUGAUUUGUGAUUCCAGCUAUUCCAGGGGAAAGAACAUUGAACAAGUUGUAGUCAUUGUUCUAGGAUUUACAAGAACCUGAGAUGAAGUGGCACUGUGUGUUUUUUAGGACAUCUUACAGACCCUACCCAUGCCAAGGCCUUUAGCUGAAGAACAUCUGCCCCUUAGUGUUCUUGUGUAGAAGUUAGAAAAAUAAACAUUUGGAGGUUGCUUGUUACAUCUGAAAGAACCUAAA